CUGGUUGGCUGAGCCUGGGGCUUUGUCAGGCCUGUGCUACAGUCUGACUUCUCCCUUUUCCUGAUCCUCUUUCCUUCCCCUUCCCUUCAGAAGACUUGAUCCCUAAUAAACAUCUUGCACCCCAAACUCCAUCUCAGAGUCUGCAUUUGGGGAACCCUGCCCUUUGAGACCAGCCUGGCCAACACGGUGAAACAGUGUCUCUAUCAAAAAUACAAAAUAUGCCAGGAGUGGUGGUGCACACCUGUAGUCCCAGCUACUCAGGAACUGAGAAUACAUGUGUGUGCAUUCUUCAUUCUAAAAUUAUCUCAGCUUUAAUUUCCUAUACAGUAAAUAUUGAUAGAUAUAGCUGACCUAGCAAAAGUUCUUUGAGGUCCUUAAUGACUUUACAAGUGUAAAAGUGUCCUGAGACCAAAAAUGUUUGAGAACCGCUGUAAAACCAUUGGGUUUGGGGGUAAUUUGUAUAAGACGUCUAUACAAAUAUAAGCAUGUAAUCAAAAUGUUAAUAGUGAUCAUCUGUGGAUGAUGGGAUUAUGGGAAAUGUGUAUAGAGAUUUUUCCCUUUUUUAUACUUUAUCUGUAUUUUCCAACUUUUUAUAAGAAAUGUUUUGCUUAUAUGAGAAAUAUAGCUUUAAGAUAAAGUUGACUGAUCUGUAUAAUCUUUAGAAAGAAGAGAGAAACCUCUCUUGCUCUAUGGGAAGGUCGCUCCUGUGGGAAGGUCUUGGCAGAAGGAAAUAAACAUGUUGAAGGCCAUUCUCUGUAGCCCUGGUCACCUCCAUCCAGCGAAAGUAGCAAAGGGACCCUGAAUUUCCACCUCCUCCACUUCUAGAGGGCAGUUUGGUCAGCUUUCUCUCGCUGUCCUCUUUUCAAAUAAGAAAAACAAGGACUCUAGUUCCCAAUGUAAGGAUCCACUCAGAGAAGCCCCCAAACAAGAAGUGAGCAAGAGCCAUUUUCUAUUCCUGCCUGUGAAGAACCUCUAGAAGUUGACUGCAUUCCAGCAGCAGUUGCCUAGGGAACACCAGUGACAAAAAGGAGCCGUGAGGACACACUAAAUAACUUUAGCAACUAUUUGCAUUUGGCAGAUGUAGCCAAGGGCAGGGCCCUGCCUGGCUCCCUGUGGAAGCCGCAGGAGCCCCACAAGGAAGGGGGGGCCACUGGAACAGUCAUAGGGGAGCAGGGAGGUGGGUGAAGAAGUGAGGGCCUUAACUCUUUCAUUGCCCCUCCCCAAGCCUGCUGGGGCAAGGGUUUGUCCCAGAAGAGAUCUCCUGGGCUUUGUGGAAACCCCAGAGAAAGUGCAGCCUCUUCCGGGAACUGGGUCCUCCCACACACCCACAGCCUACAGCCCCCCACCCACCCACCAUGCCCCCCAGUCUUGCUUCUGCUUCCGCCACCAGGGAAGGCAGGUGACAGGAUGGGCUGUGAGCUCCAGGCUCAGCCUUGCUGUGGCAGCUAAUUGGGAUGGUUUUUACCUGCCAGGUGAAAAGUCUGCCUGGGGAGGGGCAGUCAGCUCUCUGUCAACCCUGCUUCCUCUCUGUCUGCCAGCUCUCAUUAGGACUAAGCCAGUCCCAUGGAGCCCCAAGAGGAGAAGAGGCCAAUGAGCCAAGCCGUUCCUGCCUGUGGCCUGGAAAUCAGAGCUGCUUCGAGCAAGCUCUGCGCGGGCUCUUUAAGGUGAGCCCCAGUGCCUGGGCUUCCCACUCUCUGGGUGGGAUGGAGACGAGACCGAAAAUAGAAAGCAGCAGAGGCCCAGACCAAGCCUGGCUUUUCUCACUGCCCCCUUCAAAAAGUUCUGCUCAGAUCAGAUGAUAUCAGAAAUGAUUGGCGCCUUUAUUUCCCCCCUUUGCUUCUAGUCCCCCACCCCCUUUCCAGUUUGACCACAUCUGUAGGCUCUGUUGAAACAGAGCCAACAUAAACAAAAACAAACUGAAACCCAGCAGCCAGCGAGGGCGGGAUGUGCCACCCAUCUGGGCAGGCCACGUGCAGGGCUGAGGACUGCCAAGGCACACCUCCUGCUGGUAAAAGGCACCGUGUGGAGUAAUUAACCUCCAGGGCUUGGUGAGUGAAAAGCACCAUGUAACCAUGCUGGGUAAUUGAAGAGGAAGAGAGGAGCGCUCUCCCGAGUGAACAUUCAAAUGUGUGCAGCUUGCUGGACCCUCUCAAGCAGGAUGGCAGUCGGUUGGCCAUGCCCCAUAAUGUGGCUGUCAUCAUUUGUCUUCCAAAUUGUUGCCCAAUCAGAAUGGCUUCGGGACCCUUCGGCUUCUAUGUAUGCAUAUGUAUAAAGAGACUUCUUAAAGCCAUGCAGGAUUUGUUGUUUUAUUUUUUAGUGAGAAUGUCCAGAGCUGGCGAAAGCAGAAGAGAAAUAAACACUCCGGUAGUCUGCUGGUGAGGAUGACAACUGGUCGACAUUUCUAGAGGCCAGUUCCGGCUCCAACACUGCUUGCGUGUAUCUGUGAAAGAGACCCAGGUGCCAUGAGGCUAGGAAGGCUGGGAUUUCGCAGCUCUUUGCACUGAAACUGCUGUUUCCUUGCUGGUGCUGCUGGAGAUGAAAAUCCACCAUCCUCCAGAAACCCAAAUCUCUCCUGGCACCAGCUCCCGGUGGCCAGCAAGUCCUAUCAUCAACUGGAAGAAAUGAAUGACAUGCUCUCCGCAUCACACUCACUUAGAGGGGUCACACAGCAAAGCUGCUUAAGCCCCUGAAGC
rnacentral:lncRNA from 10 species